rnacentral:misc_RNA from 1 species
UUUCCGUAGGUGAACCUGCGGAAGGAUCAUUAUAAAUGAAAAACGAAUCACUUCAGGGAAGAAGGGAACCUGCACGGUGACCUCCCCUGUCGGGCCACCCAAUACCUUCAAAAUGCCGCCGUCCUAGCGGUGGCCGACGAAAAAAAAAACAAGAAAAACAAAAUAGAAACAGGCACGGUGGCCCGUUCACCUUCACACAACCCUCCGAGUACCGCUUCCAUGUUGCUUCCCCGCAAAUCCACCUCUUUGGUGAGCGCGGGGGAGGUCCGCAUCAAAUUCACCUGAAUGUCACAGCAGUCAGACAGCCAUUCAUGGAAACAAUAAAACUUUCAACAACGGAUCUCUUGGUUCCC